AAGGUUUGGUCCGAUUUUAAAUUUGCAAUUCAACUUCAAUUUCUGGAACAGGGGGUGGUUCCUUCAGCCCAAAGGAGGUUUGGUCCGAUUUUAAAUUUGCAAUUCAACUUCAAUUUCUGGAACAGGGGGUGGUUCUUUCAGCCCAAAGGAGGUUUGGUCCGAUUUUAAAUUUGCAAUUCAACUUCAAUUUCUGGAAAUGGGGGUGGUUCCUUCAGCCCAAAGGAGGUUUGGUCCGAUUUUAAAUUUGCAAUUCAACUUCAAUUUCUGGAAUUGGGGGUGGUUCCUUCAGCCCAAAGGAGGUAAGAAGUAUACAUACAUCUGUAAAAGGGAUUCAAAAUGUUGUAUGUUCUCCAGUAAUUGCAGCAAAUACCAGGUGUACCGGUAUAAAAUAAUAUACUAAUUUUGAAUGGGAAAGUAAAAAAAAAAAUUAUUCAAAGU